GAUGAACGCUGGCGGCGUGCCUAAUACAUGCAAGUAGAACGCUGAAGGAAGGAGCUUGCUCUUUCCGGAUGAGUUGCGAACGGGUGAGUAACGCGUAGGUAACCUGCCUGGUAGCGGGGGAUAACUAUUGGAAACGAUAGCUAAUACCGCAUAACAGUAGAUGUUGCAUGAUAUCUACUUAAAAGGUGCAAUUGCACCACUACCAGAUGGACCUGCGUUGUAUUAGCUAGUUGGUGAGGUAACGGCUCACCAGGGCGACGAUACAUAGCCGACCUGAGAGGGUGAUCGGCCACACUGGGACUGAGACACGGCCCAGACUCCUACGGGAGGCAGCAGUAGGGAAUCUUCGGCAAUGGACGGAAGUCUGACCGAGCAACGCCGCGUGAGUGAAGAAGGGUUUCGGAUCGUAAAGCUCUGUUGUAAGAGAAGAACGAGUGUGAGAGUGGAAAGUUCACACUGUGACGGUAUCUUACCAGAAAGGGACGGCUAACUACGUG
rnacentral:rRNA from 1 species